rnacentral:rRNA from 1 species
AGGCCCUUCGGGGUACACGAGUGGCGAACGGGUGAGUAACACGUGGGUAAUCUGCCCUGCACUUCGGGAUAAGCCUGGGAAACUGGGUCUAAUACCGGAUAUGAGCUCCUGCCGCAUGGUGGGGGUUGGAAAGUUUUUCGGUGCAGGAUGAGUCCGCGGCCUAUCAGCUUGUUGGUGGGGUAAUGGCCUACCAAGGCGACGACGGGUAGCCGGCCUGAGAGGGUGAUCGGCCACACUGGGACUGAGACACGGCCCAGACUCCUACGGGAGGCAGCAGUGGGGAAUAUUGCACAAUGGGCGAAAGCCUGAUGCAGCGACGCCGCGUGGGGGAUGAAGGUCUUCGGAUUGUAAACUCCUUUCAGUAGGGACGAAGCGAGAGUGACGGUACCUGCAGAAGAAGCACCGGCCAACUACGUGCCAGCAGCCGCGGUAAUACGUAGGGUGCAAGCGUUGUCCGGAAUUACUGGGCGUAAAGAGCUCGUAGGCGGUUUGUCACGUCGUCUGUGAAAUCCUCCAGCUCAACUGGGGGCGUGCAGGCGAUACGGGCAGACUUGAGUACUACAGGGGAGACUGGAAUUCCUGGUGUAGCGGUGAAAUGCGCAGAUAUCAGGAGGAACACCGGUGGCGAAGGCGGGUCUCUGGGUAGUAACUGACGCUGAGGAGCGAAAGCAUGGGGAGCAAACAGGAUUAGAUACCCUGGUAGUCCAUGCCGUAAACGGUGGGCGCUAGGUGUGGGGUCCUUCCACGGAUUCCGUGCCGUAGCUAACGCAUUAAGC